CCUGGCUCAGGACGAACGCUGGCGGCGUGCUUAACACAUGCAAGUCGAACGGAGAACUUUCUUCGGAAUGUUCUUAGUGGCGAACGGGUGAGUAACGCGUAGGCAACCUGCCCUCUGGUUGGGGACAACAUUCCGAAAGGGAUGCUAAUACCGAAUGAGAUCCUCUUUCCGCAUGGAGAGAGGAUGAAAGAUGGCCUCUACUUGUAAGCUAUCGCCAGAAGAUGGGCCUGCGUCUGAUUAGCUAGUAGGUGAGGUAACGGCUCACCUAGGCGAUGAUCAGUAGCCGGUCUGAGAGGAUGAACGGCCACAUUGGGACUGAGACACGGCCCAAACUCCUACGGGAGGCAGCAGUGGGGAAUCUUCCGCAAUGGACGAAAGUCUGACGGAGCAACGCCGCGUGAGUGAUGAAGGCCUUCGGGUUGUAAAACUCUGUUGUCAGGGACGAAAGCACCGAUCUAUAAUACAUUUUGGUGUUGACGGUACCUGACGAGGAAGCCACGGCUAACUACGUGCCAGCAGCCGCGGUAAUACGUAGGUGGCAAGCGUUGUCCGGAAUUAUUGGGCGUAAAGAGCAUGUAGGCGGGCUUUUAAGUCCGACGUGAAAAUGCGGGGCUUAACCCCGUAUGGCGUUGGAUACUGGAAGUCUUGAGUGCAGGAGAGGAAAGGGGAAUUCCCAGUGUAGCGGUGAAAUGCGUAGAUAUUGGGAGGAACACCAGUGGCGAAGGCGCCUUUCUGGACUGUGUCUGACGCUGAGAUGCGAAAGCCAGGGUAGCAAACGGGAUUAGAUACCCCGGUAGUCCUGGCCGUAAACGAUGGGUACUAGGUGUAGGAGGUAUCGACCCCUUCUGUGCCGGAGUUAACGCAAUAAGUACCCCGCCUGGGGACUACG
rnacentral:rRNA from 1 species